CCUCCAUGAAGAAACCCUAGCCGUCUCUCUGUGAAGCAACCCUAUGUAUCUUCAUCCCCAAUUGCGAUUGUAAGCAACAUGGUUUCUGCAUCUUCAAUCUUACAUCUCCCUCUCAUUCGUCUCAAAAUUGAAUCCCUUCACCAAGGUUCCACUCUGAUUGAUGUUGCAGCUGUUUGUUGCCAUUGCUGGUGAUUCACAACCGUCGUUGCCGCUCUUCUGGUGUUUAAUGGUGGUAUUAAUGUGGAUUUUGUGUUAUUAGUUUGUUCGAUUUGAUUCUGUUACCCUUGAUUAAUCUAGGGUUUUCGAGAUUUGUGAUCAUUAUCUUAUUUUACUGUAAAUUCGUUUAUUAUUAAUUCCAUACAAUUUAACAUAUUUGUUCGUUAUAUAUAUAGUUAUUAAAGAAAUAUAGGUAUCAUUGUGUUUUAGAUCAAUAGGUAUGAUUGUGUUAAAAAAAUGUCGUUUUAGAUUAUAUUGUGUAUAGAU